rnacentral:rRNA from 1 species
UACGUAGGCAGCGAGCGUUGUUCGGAGUUACUGGGCGUAAAGAGUGCGUAGGCGGUUUUCUAAGUUUGGUGUGAAAUCUCCCGGCUUAACUGGGAGGGUGCGCCGAAAACUGGAAGGCUUGAGUAUGGGAGAGGUAAGCGGAAUUCCUGGUGUAGCGGUGAAAUGCGUAGAUAUCAGGAGGAACACCAGUGGCGAAGGCGACUACCUGGCCUGUUCUUGACGCUGAGGCGCGAAAGCUGGGGGAGCAAACGGG